rnacentral:tRNA from 1 species
GGCUGUAGCUCAGUGGUAGAGUGCUUGCCUAGCAUGUAUGAGGCACUGGGUUCAAUUCCCAGCACCA